AGCGAGGUGGGGUAGCCAGGAUAUCCCGUCGGGCUCAUAACCCGGAGACCGGUCGUUCAAAUCGACUCCUCGCUACCA
rnacentral:tRNA from 1 species